UACGAAGGGGGCUAGCGUUGCUCGGAAUCACUGGGCGUAAAGGGCGCGUAGGCGGGUUUUUAAGUCAGGGGUGAAAUCCUGGAGCUCAACUCCAGAACUGCCUUUGAUACUGGGGAUCUUGAGUUCGGGAGAGGUGAGUGGAACUGCGAGUGUAGAGGUGAAAUUCGUAGAUAUUCGGAAGAACACCAGUGGCGAAGGCGGCUCACUGGCCCGAUACUGACGCUGAGGCGCGAAAGCGUGGGGAGCAAACAGG
rnacentral:rRNA from 1 species